rnacentral:rRNA from 1 species
AACGCGAAGAACCUUACCUACCCUUGAUAUCCUCGGAAUCCUCUAGAGAUAGAGGAGUGCCUUCGGGAACCGAGAGACAGGUGCUGCAUGGCUGUCGUCAGCUCGUGUCGUGAGAUGUUGGGUUAAGUCCCGUAACGAGCGCAACCCUCGUCCUUAGUUGCCAGCGGUUCGGCCGGGAACUCUAAGGAGACUGCCGGUGAUAAACCGGAGGAAGGUGGGGAUGAUGUCAAGUCAUCAUGGCCCUUACGGGUAGGGCCACACACGUGCUACAAUGGGCAGUACAGAGGGUUGCCAAACCGCGAGGUGGAGCUAAUCCCAAAAAGCUGCUCGUAGUCCAGAUUGGAGUCUGCAACUCGACUCCAUGAAGCUGGAAUCGCUAGUAAUCGCGAAUCAGAAUGUCGCGGUGAAUACGUUCCCGGGCCUUGUACACACCGACAUA